rnacentral:rRNA from 1 species
CCUACGGGAGGCAGCAGUAGGGAAUUUUGCGCAAUGGGCGAAAGCCUGACGCAGCAACGCCGCGUGAUCGAGACGCCCUUCGGGGUGUAAAGAUCUGUCAGUGGGGACGAAACUUGACGGUACCCACAGAGGAAGCACCGGCUAACUCCGUGCCAGCAGCCGCGGUAAUACGGGGGGUGCAAGCGUGGUCGGGAAUCAUGGGGCGUAAGGAGUUCGUAGGCGGUCCGGAAAGUCAGCGGUAAAAGCCCGGGGCUAAACCGCGGGGAGCCGUUGAAACUGGCGGACUAGAGAGGGCGAGAGGUAAGUGGAAUGCGCGGUGUAGCGGUGAAAUGCGUAGAUAUCGCGAAGAACUCCGGUUGCGAAGGCAGCGUACCGGCGCCGGACUGACGCUGAGGCACGAAAGCGUGGGGAUCGAACAGGAUUAGAUACCCCAGUAGUC